AUGACAGAAUAUCCAGUCCUUGAAUCAAUUUGAGCAUAUCCCCUAGUACAGUGAAUAUCAGUUUUGUUUGCUAGCUACAAGACUGGACAAAACUGAUAUUUCAGUUGAGUUGUGCUGAGCCAACAAGGUAUUGGUGCAUGGUUGCCAUGUGUGUUUGAGCUCACAUCGUGCUGGCACCCUGAGAAUUCUUCAUCGCAAUGAGAUAAACAAGUCAAGUGAACCUGCCCUAGCCCUAUCCUUUUAUUUCAGUGCUGUUCUAGUGAUCCAGCUCUAGUUGUUCCUCUGGUGUCUCUGUGGUCUGUGUUGCAAGCCAAAGCUCUUCUCCCCAGCCACCAAGUUAGCUCUCUCCAAUUCAUCAAGUGCCACUCCAUUAUCUGGUGACCAAAGCAGCCAUCCUUCCACCUCACCGUGGCCAAGGAUCUUCGAGAGGUGUUUCGGCCAUGUUGUGCCUGUUCUCUACUCCUCACAGGUUGUCUCCAUUGCAACAAGUGCUUAGGAGAAGAUGAAGACAACAUUGAGGACUUUCAGGAGUUUCAGGACUUCGACGAGUUUUAGAAUAGAUUAGUGACAAAUUCCCAGUCAGCUGCCUGUAAAGGCCUUAUCGUACUGUGUUUCGUUUAGCACUUUGAUUAUGACUUAAUAACUUUGUGGAUGUUUCAGACAUCAUGAUGUAAUAAAGUACUUAUUUCCUCUAUUAUUUUGAGCAAUGUGUGUGUUGGGGGCCUUCA